rnacentral:rRNA from 1 species
GACGUAGGGGGCCAGCGUUGUUCGGAAUUACUGGGUGUAAAGGGUUCGUAGGCGGUGUGGCAAGUCGGGAGUGAAAUUUCUGGGCUUAACCCAGAGGCUGCUUCCGAAACUGCUGUGCUCGAGUGUGGGAGAGGCGCGUGGAAUUGCAGGUGUAGCGGUGAAAUGCGUAGAUAUCUGGAGGAAUACCGGUGGCGAAGGCGGCAUCCUGGACCGAGAUUGACGCUGAACGGCGAAAGCUAGGGGAGCAAACGGG